CUCGGAGUUAAAUGCAUCAUCCAGUAGUUUUCUUUGUCGUUCGUUCUCCUCUUUUAAACCACAAAGUUCCUCCUCGUAUUCUGCUGUUGUUCUUUCAAACAGCUCAAAUAUCACAUCUUUAUCAUCUGCAGGUAGUCUCUGCUUCAGUAACGCGCUCAGAAUUUGGACUUUAGACAUUUUCACACAAAGACGCAAAGUGUUUCUGCACACAAACGGCCCAGUUAGCAGGCUAAGCUAACUCCGCUAGCUUUGAAAGACAACGAACGGCACAAAAA